UCGAACGGUCUCUUCGGAGGCAGUGGCAGACGGGUGAGUAACGCGUGGGAAUCUACCUGGCUCUACGGAACAACUCAGGGAAACUUGAGCUAAUACCGUAUACGCCCUUCGGGGGAAAGAUUUAUCGGAGUUGGAUGAGCCCGCGUCUGAUUAGCUAGUUGGUGGGGUAAUGGCCUACCAAGGCGACGAUCAGUAGCUGGUCUGAGAGGAUGAUCAGCCACACUGGGACUGAGACACGGCCCAGACUCCUACGGGAGGCAGCAGUGGGGAAUAUUGGACAAUGGGCGCAAGCCUGAUCCAGCCAUGCCGCGUGAGUGAUGAAGGCCCUAGGGUUGUAAAGCUCUUUCACCGGUGAAGAUAAUGACGGUAGCCGGAGAAGAAGCCCCGGCUAACUUCGUGCCAGCAGCCGCGGUAAUACGAAGGGGGCUAGCGUUGUUCGGAAUUACUGGGCGUAAAGCGCGCGUAGGCGGAUUGGUCAGUUAGGGGUGAAAUCCCAGGGCUCAACCCUGGAACUGCCUCUAAUACUUCCAGUCUAGAGUUCGAGAGAGGUGAGUGGAAUUCCGAGUGUAGAGGUGAAAUUCGUAGAUAUUCGGAGGAACACCAGUGGCGAAGGCGGCUCACUGGCUCGAUACUGACGCUGAGGUGCGAAAGCGUGGGGGAGCAAACAGGAUUAGAUACCGUGGUAGUCCACGCCGUAAACGAUGGAAGCUAGCCGUUGGUAGGUUUACCUAUCGGUGGCGCAGUUAACGCAUUAAGCUUCCCGCCUGGGGAGUACGGUCGCAAGAUUAAAACUCAAAGGAAUUGACGGGGG
rnacentral:rRNA from 1 species